CCUUACCAGGCCUUGACAUGCAGAGAACUUUCCAGAGAUGGAUUGGUGCCUUCGGGAACUCUGACACAGGUGCUGCAUGGCUGUCGUCAGCUCGUGUCGUGAGAUGUUGGGUUAAGUCCCGCAACGAGCGCAACCCUUGUCAUUAGUUGCUACGAAAGGGCACUCUAAUGAGACUGCCGGUGACAAACCGGAGGAAGGUGGGGAUGACGUCAAGUCCUCAUGGCCCUUAUGGGUAGGGCUUCACACGUCAUACAAUGGUACAUACAGAGGGCCGCCAACCCGCGAGGGGGAGCUAAUCCCAGAAAGUGUAUCGUAGUCCGGAUUGUAGUCUGCAACUCGACUACAUGAAGUUGGAAUCGCUAGUAAUCGCGGAUCAGCAUGUCGCGGUGAAUACGUUCCC
rnacentral:rRNA from 1 species